CCUACGGGGGGCAGCAGUGAGGAAUAUUGGUCAAUGGGCGUAAGCCUGAACCAGCCAAGUCGCGUGAAGGAUGACGGCUCUAUGGGUUGUAAACCUCUUUUAUAAGGGAAUAAAGUGUGGGACGUGUCCUAUUUUGUAUGUACCUUAUGAAUAAGGAUCGGCUAACUCCGUGCCAGCAGCCGCGGUAAUACGGAGGAUCCGGGCGUUAUCCGGAUUUAUUGGGUUUAAAGGGUGCGUAGGCGGCAUGUUAAGUCAGCGGUGAAAGUCUGUGGCUCAACCAUGGACUUGCCGUGGAAACUGGCGGGCUUGAGUAUGCGUGAGGCAGGCGGAAUGCGUGGUGUAGCGGUGAAAUGCUUAGAUAUGACGCAGAACCCCGAUUGCGAAGGCAGCUUGCUACGGCAUGACUGACGCUGAUGCACGAAAGCGUGGGGAUCGAACAGGAUUAGAUACCCCAGUAGUC
rnacentral:rRNA from 1 species